rnacentral:misc_RNA from 1 species
GAUGAAGAACGUAGCGAAAUGCGAUAAGUAAUGUGAAUUGCAGAAUUCAGUGAAUCAUCGAAUCUUUGAACGCACAUUGCGCCCCUUGGUAUUCCGAGGGGCAUGCCUGUUCGAGUGUCAUUAUAACCCCUCAAGCUCAGCUUGGUGUUGGGGCCUGCUGCACUGGCAGCCCUUAAAAUCAGUGGCGGCGCCAUCUGGCUCUAAGCGUAGUAAUUCUUCUCGCUAUGGAGUCCUGGUGGAUGCUUGCCAUAAACCCCCAAUUUUUCUAUGGUUGACCUCGGAUCAGGUAGGGAUACCCGCUGAACUUAAGCAUAUCAAUAAGCGGAGGA